rnacentral:lncRNA from 1 species
AUGACAUCACGCUGGUCAAGGAGGCGCAAAUUACGCAAAAUGGUUGAGGCAGCAGAGUCAGAUAUAAUCAGGCACUUUAAUGAGAUGGUUGCUGAAAAACAUAAACAAAAGAGCAAUGCACAAGUUGAAAAUAAGCGACCGCAGGUUGCAGAAGAGUCUGGUGUGUCCCACUGUUGUCACCCGGGUAUAGACAGUCCUGUAUUUCCCAGUCGCUCUGAGCACAUUUCAGAAGUAUGUGAGACCUAUGUGUCAACCGACAAGGAUAAUGACUAUGACUUCAGUUUUGACAGCUUUGGUUGCCAUGCACCACCGUUUGAUUCUGAUAUUAGUGAUGCUGAAGCUGAUGACGAAGCGCCCAAUAAUGAAUUCUUAAUAACAAGUUUAAGAUACUGGGCUUCUACAUUUUCAGUCUCGUUGGUGGCAGUAACAGCACUCUUGGGAAUUUUGCGUGUGUUUCACCCAGACCUACCAAAAGAUGCCAGGACAGUUCUCCGGACGCAAGGUCAAAUAAACACAAUAAAAAUGGAUGGUGGGGAAUACCAUCAUUUUGGUUUGGCUAAAGGGUUGGUCUCUCGACUAAAAUCCUUGAUCUUGCCUGCCAACUUGAACAACCUAAAAUUGCAGUUUAAUAUAGAUGGUUUACCCCUUUUCAAAAGCAGUAAACUUCAGUUCUGGCCAAUUCUUGCAAUUGCAAAUGUUGACUACACCAAAUCACCAUUCCUUGUUGGUCUCUACUGUGGUCUGGGUAAGCCAAAAAGUGUAGUUCAGUUCUUGGACCCAUUUGUGAAGGACCUCGGGCACAUUUUGAAGUAUGGCAUUAUCUACAAUAGCUGCCAGAUAACUGUUAAAGUAUGUUCAUUUGUGUGUGAUGCACCUGCAAGAGCUUUCAUUAAAAACAUAAAGGCUCAUAAUGGUUAUUCUGGUUGUGAUAAAUGUGUUCAAGUAGGUGAAUGGAAGAACAAAAUGACGUACCCUGAACUUAAUGCAAAGCUCAGAACGGAUUCAGAUUUUCAGUUGAUGACUGAUGAAGACCACCACUUGAAUCAAACAUUGUCUCCUUUAGCUGGUAGGGUUAAGAUGAUAACAAUGUUUCCCUUGGAUUAUAUGCAUCUAUGUUGUCUUGGAGUAACAAGAAAACUCAUAUACUUGUGGAUAAAGGGCAAAGUACUUGCAACAAGGCUGUCCAGUCGAACAGUAGUUGAAAUUUCAGAAAAGUUGAAAGCUCUGCGGCCUUAUACACCAAAUGAGUUUAACCGCAAGCCAAGGGAAUUGUCUGAAAUUGAUAGAUGGAAAGCAACAGAGUUGCGAAUGUUUAUGUUGUACACAGGGCCCAUAGUGCUUAGGAAUAGCAUUCCAGUUGAGUUCUAUGAUAACUUUAUGUUGUUUUCUGUAGCAAUGCAUCUGCUGUUAUCCCCUCUAUGUCUAAUGAAAUGGUUGAUUGUGCCAAUGAAUUCCUGGUGUCAUUUGUUUCUCACUUCGGCGAAUUGUAUGGUAAGGAUGAAAUUACAUACAAUGUACACCAGCUGA